UGCCCUGCAACUCCUAUCCCUACCUCCUCGUGGUACCGGCUGGAAACUAUGAGCAACCUUAGGGAAGAUCGGGUAACCAACGUCCGAGUACCAAGGAAGG
rnacentral:ribozyme from 1 species